CCUACGGGAGGCAGCAGUGAGGAAUAUUGGUCAAUGGACGAGAGUCUGAACCAGCCAAGUAGCGUGAAGGAUGACUGCCCGAUGGGUUGUAAACUUCUAUUAUAAAGGAAGAAAACGAGGCACGUGUGCCUUUUUGCAUGUACUUUAUGAAUAAGGAGCGGCUAACUCCGUGCCAGCAGCCGCGGUAAUACGGAGGAUCCGAGCGUUAUCCGGAUUUGUGGGGGUUAAAGGGAGAGUAGAUGGGUUGUUAAGUCAGUUGUGAAAGUUUGCGGCUCAACCGUAAAAUGGCAAUUGAUACUGGCAGUCUUGAGUACAGUUGCGGUCGGCGGACUUCGUUGUGUCGCUGU
rnacentral:rRNA from 1 species